CAGCAGCCGCGGUAACACGGAGGGAGCUAGCGUUAUUCGGAAUUACUGGGCGUAAAGCGCACGUAGGCGGCUUUGUAAGUUAGAGGUGAAAGCCUGGAGCUCAACUCCAGAAUUGCCUUUAAGACUGCAUCGCUUGAAUCCAGGAGAGGUGAGUGGAAUUCCGAGUGUAGAGGUGAAAUUCGUAGAUAUUCGGAAGAACACCAGUGGCGAAGGCGGCUCACUGGACUGGUAUUGACGCUGAGGUGCGAAAGCGUGGGGAGCAAACAGGAUUAGAUACCCCCGUAGUCCCUGUCUCUUAUAC
rnacentral:rRNA from 1 species